AUUGAACGCUGGCGGCAUGCCUUACACAUGCAAGUCGAACGGCAGCACGGGUGCUUGCACCUGGUGGCGAGUGGCGAACGGGUGAGUAAUACAUCGGCACAUGUCCUGUAGUGGGGGAUAGCCCGGCGAAAGCCGGAUUAAUACCGCAUACGAUCUACGGAUGAAAGCGGGGGACCUUCGGGCUUCGCGCUAUCGGGUUGGCCGAUGGCUGAUUAGCUAGUUGGUGGGGUAAAGGCCUACCAAGGCGACGAUCAGCAGCUGGUCUGAGAGGACGACCAGCCACACUGGGACUGAGACACGGCCCAGACUCCUACGGGAGGCAGCAGUGGGGAAUAUUGGACAAUGGGCGAAAGCCUGAUCCAGCAAUGCCGCGUGUGUGAAGAAGGCCUUCGGGUUGUAAAGCACUUUUGUCCGGAAAGAAAUCCUUGGCCCUAAUACGGUCGGGGGAUGACGGUACCGGAAGAAUAAGCACCGGCUAACUACGUG
rnacentral:rRNA from 1 species